CUACGGGGUGCUGCAGUGAGGAAUAUUGGACGAUGGGGGAAACCCUGAUCCAGCAAUGCCGCGUGAAUGAAGAAGGCCUUAGGGUUGUAAAGUUCUUUCACUCGUGAAGAUUAUGACGGUAACGAGAGAAGAAGCCCCGGCUAACUCUGUGCCAGCAGCCGCGGUAAGACAGAGGGGGCUAGCGUUGUUCGGAAUAACUGGGCGUAAAGGGUGCGUAGGCGGUUGUUUAAGUAAAGUGUAAAAGCCCUGGGCUUAACCCAGGAAUCGCAUUUUAAACUGGACAGCUAGAGUGUGGUAGAGGAAAGUGGAAUUCCUAGUGUAGAGGUGAAAUUCGUAGAUAUUAGGAGGAACACCAGAGGCGAAGGCGGCUUUCUGGACCAUUACUGACGCUGAGGCACGGAAGCGUGGGGAGCAAACAGGAUUAGAUACCCGAGUAGUC
rnacentral:rRNA from 1 species